ACGAACGCUGGCGGCGUGCCUAAUACAUGCAAGUCGAACGCUUCUUUCCUCCCGAGUGCUUGCACUCAAUUGGAAAGAGGAAUGGCGGACGGGUGAGUAACACGUGGGUAACCUACCCAUCAGAGGGGGAUAACACUUGGAAACAGGUGCUAAUACCGCAUAACAGUUUAUGCCGCAUGGCAUAAGAGUGAAAGGCGCUUUCGGGUGUCGCUGAUGGAUGGACCCGCGGUGCAUUAGCUAGUUGGUGAGGUAACGGCUCACCAAGGCCACGAUGCAUAGCCGACCUGAGAGGGUGAUCGGCCACACUGGGACUGAGACACGGCCCAGACUCCUACGGGAGGCAGCAGUAGGGAAUCUUCGGCAAUGGACGAAAGUCUGACCGAGCAACGCCGCGUGAGUGAAGAAGGUUUUCGGAUCGUAAAACUCUGUUGUUAGAGAAGAACAAGGACGUUAGUAACUGAACGUCCCCUGACGGUGUCUAACCAGAAAGCCACGGCUAACUACGUG
rnacentral:rRNA from 1 species